AUGAGUCAAAGAACAGCAGUAUGCUUUUCUGCCUUGCAUUCUCCGAAGUGGGUUACUAAUUCUUCUGGAAAGCAGCGAUCUCCUGCACUCUUGGUACAAAUCCAUGUCUCACAAGGAUUACUCUUUCUGAUGGAAAGCACAUCGGAUCGCCUCCCAUCCGCACGUCCUUGCAUGUGUGUGUGCCUAACCUCCUCGAUCUGUUCCUUAUGGCUGAACUCCGCAAGCCCUGAGCCCUGCAAACACUUCAUCCUCGGCGGUCCCGGCGUGGAUUCGUGACAGGAAUCCUGCGAAACUAAUGAAAAAAACGUAGUGUUUUUACAC
rnacentral:lncRNA from 1 species